rnacentral:rRNA from 1 species
GAUGAACGCUGGCGGCGUGCCUAAUACAUGCAAGUCGAGCGAACGGACGAGAAGCUUGCUUUUCUGAUGUUAGCGGCGGACAGGUGAGUAACACGUGGAUAACCUACCUAUAAGACUGGGAUAACUUCGGGAAACAGGAGCUCAAACCGGAUAAUAUUUUGAUCCGCAUGGUUCAAAAGUGAAAGACGGUCUUACUGUCACUCAUAGAUGGAUCCGCGCUGCAUUAGCUAGUUGGUAAGGUAACGGCUUACCAAGGCAACGAUGCAUAGCCGACCUGAGAGGGUGAUCGGCCACACUGGAACUGAGACACGGUCCAGACUCCUACGGGAGGCAGCAGUAGGGAAUCUUCCGCAAUGGGCGAAAGCCUGACGGAGCAACGCCGCGUGAGUGAUGAAGGUCUUCGGAUCGUAAAACUCUGUUAUUAGGGAAGAACAUAUGUGUAAGUAACUGUGCACAUCUUGACGGUACCUAAUCAGAAAGCCACGGCUAACUACGUG